AUGAACGCUGGCGGCGUGCCUCAUACAUGCAAGUAGAACGCUGAAGGAGGAGCUUGCUCUUCUGGAUGAGUUGCGAACGGGUGAGUAACGCGUAGGUAACCUGCCUGGUAGCGGGGGAUAACUAUUGGAAACGAUAGCUAAUACCGCAUGACAACAGUUAUUGCAUGAUAACUGUUUAAAAGGGGCAACUGCUCCACUACCAGAUGGACCUGCGUUGUAUUAGCUAGUUGGUGAGGUAACGGCUCACCAAGGCGACGAUACAUAGCCGACCUGAGAGGGUGAUCGGCCACACUGGGACUGAGACACGGCCCAGACUCCUACGGGAGGCAGCAGUAGGGAAUCUUCGGCAAUGGACGGAAGUCUGACCGAGCAACGCCGCGUGAGUGAAGAAGGUUUUCGGAUCGUAAAGCUCGGUUGUAAGAGAAGAACGAGUGUGAGAGUGGAAAGUUCACAAUGUGACGGUAUCUUACCAGAAAGAGACGGCUAACUACGUG
rnacentral:rRNA from 1 species